AUGCACGCUGGCGGCGUGCCUAAUACAUGCAAGUCGAGCGAACAGACGAGGAGCUUGCUCCUCUGACGUUAGCGGCGGACGGGUGAGUAACACGUGGAUAACCUACCUAUAAGACUGGGAUAACUUCGGGAAACCGGAGCUACUACCGGAUAAUAUAUUGAACCGCAUGGUUCAAUAGUGAAAGACGGUUUUGCUGUCACUUAUAGAUGGAUCCGCGCCGCAUUAGCUAGUUGGUAAGGUAACGGCUUACCAAGGCAACGAUGCGUAGCCGACCUGAGAGGGUGAUCGGCCACACUGGAACUGAGACACGGCCCAGACUCCUACGGGAGGCAGCAGUAGGGAAUCUUCCGCAAUGGGCGAAAGCCUGACGGAGCAACGCCGCGUGAGUGAUGAAGGUCUUCGGAUCGUAAAACUCUGUUAUUAGGGAAGAACAAAUGUGUAAGUAACUAUGCACGUCUUGACGGUACCUAAUCAGAAAGCCACGGCUAACUACGUG
rnacentral:rRNA from 1 species